GGCGGUUUGGCCGAGUGGUCUAAGGCGAUUGAGUACGUUCCACCAUACAAAAUCAUUCCCCACGAAUUUUCACUAACCUUCCUUACAGCUAGAAAUCAAUUCUCUUCGGAGGCGCAUGUUCGAAUCAUGCAGCCGUCG
rnacentral:tRNA from 1 species